AGGAAGAAUUUCUACAUUGAGACUAGUAAGUGUGAAUUAUGUGAUGAUGAACCUAAUGAACAUUUAAUGCAUCUGUUUUUUAGCUGUGAUUUCAGUCAAAACUUUUGGAUGAACAUUGGCUACCAAUGGAACACUGAUCAUAGCCUCAUAGAAAUGCUCCUGGAGGGAAGGAAGCAAGAUACACAUGGAUGCUUUAAAGAAUGUCUGAUUGCUGGAUGCUGGAGUCUAUGGAAACACAGAAAUAGCAUAAUUUUUGACAACAAGGUCAAAAAUAUGACAUUCUGUAUUGCCACUUUCAAGGAGCACUUUUGCAUGAUUACAAAGAAGGCAAAACCAGGAUUGAAAGAGGGCAUGCAAAGCUGGCUAGAUCAUUUGUAG
rnacentral:rRNA from 1 species